UACGUAGGGGGCUAGCGUUGUCCGGAAUCAUUGGGCGUAAAGCGCGCGUAGGCGGCCCAGUAAGUCCGUUGUAAAAGUCAAAGGCUCAACCUUUGAAAGCCGAUGGAUACUGCUGGGCUAGAGUCCGGAAGAGGCGAGUGGAAUUCCUGGUGUAGCGGUGGAAUGCGCAGAUAUCAGGAGGAACACCGAUAGCGAAGGCAGCUCGCUGGGACGGUACUGACACUGAUGAGCGAAAGCUAGGGGAGCAAACGGG
rnacentral:rRNA from 1 species